rnacentral:rRNA from 1 species
AGCCUGAUCCAGCWAUGCCGCGUGUGUGAAGAAGGCCUGCGGGUUGUAAAGCACUUUCAGUGGGGAAGAACGGUCCGGCGUUAAUAGCGCUGGAUCUUGACGUUACCCACAGAAGAAGCACCGGCUWACUCCGUGCCAGCAGCCGCGGUAAUACGGAGGGUGCAAGCGUUAAUCGGAAUCACUGGGCGUAAAGCGCGCGUAGGCGGUUUGGUAAGUCAGAUGUGAAAGCCCCGGGCUCAACCUGGGAACUGCAUUUGAUACUGCCUGGCUAGAGUAUGGUARAGGGGGGUGGAAUUC